rnacentral:tRNA from 1 species
AGUUAAUGAACUUGAUAUAAGUAUAUGUUUUGAAAACAUAAAAUAGAGGUUAAAUCCCCUAUUAACUU